UUAUUAAAAGAAAUUGAUAAGACAUUGGGUGAGGAGCACAGACUUAACGUGUACCCAUUUACAGAAUAAUAGUACUACUACAUUUGAGACAAGGCUUGUUGCGCACUCCAUCGCUACUCCUCAACAACCAACACCAAUGACGAGCCUCCCGUCGGAGAUCAUCACCGACAUACUUGUCCGACUCUCCGUCAAGGAUCUCCUUCGCUACAGGAGCGUAUCCAAGCCAUGGUGCUCCUUGAUUGACAGCCCCGAUUUCGUCAAAAGCCACCUCAAGCACUCCACCGAUACCUAUUCCAACACUGGCCUGAUUAUCAGAGGUUACGAUCUCAACUGGGUUGACCUCCAUAAUCUUAACUCCUCUGAGAAACUUAUUCAUCCUCUCGAUUUAAACGGCGGUAUGGGUGCAGAUGUCUUGGGAUCAUGCAAUGGCUUACUUGCCCUAAUUAAUAUCGAUGACGAUAUUGCUUUGUGGAACCCAUUCACUAAAAGGUACAGAAUCUUACCCAUUGCUGAGAUUGAAUUUCCGACCCACGGCUUUACUUUUUGUCAAUAUAUCAUUUACGGAUUUGGGUAUGACCCUAUUAACGAUGAUUACAAGUUGAUAAGGUUGAUUCAGUUUUAUGGAAAAGAUCAUGACUCUUUUGACUCUGAGGUUAAGGUUUAUAGCCUCAAAGCCAAAACAUGGAGAAGGAUUAAGGACUUUCCUUAUUACCUUCGAUAUAAGCGUGUGUAUGGUGUUCUUGCUAGUAAUGCUUUACACUGGGUUGUGUCCCGAAAGCCAGAAUCUGAUGUUUCCAACUUAAUUGGGGCUAUUGAUCUUGUGAGUGAGGAAUACUAUGUGGUGCCUCAACCUGAUUAUGUGGAUGGUGAUUUUCACAUGAAUUUGAAUGUCUUAGGAGAUUGCCUUUGUCUGAUUGCUAAUUACACCUCUAACCCAACCAAUGAAUACUGGGAGUACUGCAAGGCCGAUCGUGUUGACAUAUGGGUGAUGAAAGAAUAUGGGGUGAAGGAGUCUUGGACUAAGUUGUAUUCUGUGGUACAAUCAGAUGUGAUGAGCUCUUUCAGUUUUGUGAUCCCAGUUGCGUAUUUGAAGAAUAGUGGUGACCAGAAAAUUCUGAUGAAUCAGAACUCCAAAAAGUUUAUUUCAUAUGAUUUGGGAAGGAAUAAGGCUGAUGAUGUGAUGAUUCCUCAUGUGCCUGACUACUAUGAAGUGUGGGUGUGCUUGCAAAGCCUUGUUGGACUUGGUGGUAAGGAUGGGGAAAUUUCUGCUAAGAAGGCAGAGAAGCGUAGGAAGAGGAGGCUGAAAAAGGAGUUGAAGCGUAAGAAGGCAGAAGAAGCUGCUAAAACCAAGGACAAAAGAUUUCCAUAUGUAUAAUAUAUAUUGAGAGAAGGGAUGAUUUCCUGUCGAAGGGAUUCAAACUGGUGCUUUAACUGGAUGGAGGCAGAGGGGACUGAUUAGGAUUAGCUCGAUGUUUAGUCUAGAGAUGGAAUCGUGUUCAACUUUGCAUGUAUUUUGGUAAACUCUUUUUUUUGACAAAGUGGCCAUAUGCUAUUAGUUUUAAAGUAGGAUUUAGUGUACCCUUCAAAAAAAAAAAAGAAAGAUAUUUGGUGAUGCAGUGGUGUUUACUUGUGAUGGAACAGUGCCCAACUUUGCAUCUCAUGUUUUGGAAGUUUAGCCAUGCAUGUUAAAAUACUUUAUGCAUUUCAUGUUUUGAUCAUUGACAAAGCGCUCACAACGUGUAAAAGUAGACACAUUUGAUAGUAAAUGAAAAAUCAACAAACACAUCAAUUUAAUUUGUCUA